rnacentral:rRNA from 1 species
GGGGAAUAUUGGACAAUGGGCGCAAGCCUGAUCCAGCCAUGCCGCGUGAGUGAUGACGGCCUUAGGGUUGUAAAGCUCUUUUACCCGGGAAGAUAAUGACGGUACCGGGAGAAUAAGCCCCGGCUAACUUCGUGCCAGCAGCCGCGGUAAUACGAAGGGGGCUAGCGUUGUUCGGAAUCACUGGGCGUAAAGCGCACGUAGGCGGAUCUUUAAGUCAGGGGUGAAAUCCCGGGGCUCAACCCCGGAACUGCCUUUGAUACUGGGGAUCUCGAGUUCGGGAGAGGUGAGUGGAACUGCGAGUGUAGAGGUGAAAUUCGUAGAUAUUCGCAAGAACACCAGUGGCGAAGGCGGCUCACUGGCCCGAUACUGACGCUGAGGUGCGAAAGCGUGGGGAGCAAAC